rnacentral:lncRNA from 1 species
UAGUAGAGAGAGAGAGAGGUCAUCGCUGCCGUCUACCUCCGUUCCCGUCGGCGUCCGGUGUCGUCGCCAUGUCCAGGAGCUCGGGGAGGCUCCCAGCGCCCCAUUCCCACCAGCGUUGAGGACGAGGGGCGACCACAGCGACGGCCAGCAGCGCGUCAUCGCCUCGGCCCCGGAGCUCCCAUCGUCUUCCUCUACCCCGUCAGCAGCAGGGAACCGUCGGCGUCUUCUUCCCCUACGGCUACUCCUUCGAGCGGGUGGCCUC